rnacentral:rRNA from 1 species
CAAUAGCGUAUAUUAAAGUUGUUGCGGUAAAAAAGCUCGUAGUUGGAUUUCUACCGAAGAUAGCCGGUCGGGUCUUCGACCUUGUAUCUGGUUUUGUCUUUGGUAUCCUCAUAGGGAACGUUUCUGCGCUUUAUUGCGUGGUGCGGUAUCUAUGACUUUUACUUUGAGGAAAUUAGAGUGUUCACGGCAGGCAAACGCCUUGAAUAUAUUAGCAUGGAAUAAUAACAUAGGAUCUUCGUCCUAUUUUGUUGGUUUCUAGGGCUAAGAUAAUGAUUAAUAGGGAUAAUUGGGGGCAUCUGCAUCAACGCGUCAGAGGUGGAAUUCUUGGAUUGCGUUGCGACAAACUACUGCGAAAGCAUUUGCCAAGGAUGUUUUCAUUGA